UACGUAGGGCGCAAGCGUUGUCCGGAAUUAUUGGGCGUAAAGAGCUCGUAGGCGGUCUGUCGCGUCUGCUGUGAAAUCCCGAGGCUCAACCUCGGGCUUGCAGUGGGUACGGGCAGACUAGAGUGCGGUAGGGGAGAAUGGAAUUCCUGGUGUAGCGGUGGAAUGCGCAGAUAUCAGGAGGAACACCGAUGGCGAAGGCAGUUCUUGGCCGUAACUGACGCUGAGGAGCGAAAGCGUGGGGAGCGACAGGAUUAGAUAC
rnacentral:rRNA from 1 species